GACGUAGGGCGCGAGCGUUGUCCGGAUUUAUUGGGCGUAAAGAGCUCGUAGGCGGUUUGUCGCGUCUGCUGUGAAAUCCCGAGGCUCAACCUCGGGCCUGCAGUGGGUACGGGCAGACUAGAGUGAUGUAGGGGAGACUGGAAUUCCUGGUGUAGCGGUGGAAUGCGUAGAGAGUCGGGAAGAACAUCAGUGGCGAAGGCGGCCUGCUGGGCUGUUGCUGACG
rnacentral:rRNA from 1 species